ensembl:lncRNA LINC01814 long intergenic non-protein coding RNA 1814
CGGGGUGCACCCCCCUCCCUGGAGCUCUGGCUGCGUGCUGGCUCCCAGAAGAGGAACCUGCUGCAGGCGCCGGCGCGGGCGGCGAGGACGACCUGUUUUUCUGACCCAGCCCGGAAGCGCUGGUGCAGGCCCUGUGCUGCAAGGCGCCCAUACCUCCAGUCCGCACCUCAGGAGUCCUUCCCGUGUCCUCUGGGAGUUCCUGCCCAUGCUGGCUGAGGCCCCAGGCCUUGAGCUUCCUUUUUUCUUCUCGCUGUGGAAAUUGCCUGGAAAGCUAUGAACUGUUGGUUCUUGAAUCAGUUGGCUGCCCCGGAUGUCUGAAUCCCUUGGAAGGAACCUGGAGGAGUUGGCUGAUGGGCUCCAGGUGCUACCGGAUCACCCUAACAACCCUCUGGGACCUGUGGCCAUGUGUUCACAACAGCAGCCAUUACAGGUGUUUCCUGAACUCUUGUCGCGAGCCUCUGUCGGCUCCAUCUCAUCGAUCCUCCCAGCAACCCACAAGGAAGCUUCACAGAGAGGCAGAUGCCACACAGGCCACCCACCCAGAUGCAGAGCCAGAUUCCCUGCGUGGACUGGACGGGAGUUUCCCAGCUGGAGUUCUCUCGGCCAAGCUGCCUGUGACAUGGGGUUGGAGGUGCUCCAGAGAGUCAUGGCCACCCCUGGAGGAAGUGACUUGUGGCUGACUGCUCAAGGGGAAGUCCUGUGGCAGUGGAGUCGUCAGCAUUAAUUCAAAUAAGAUCUCUCCCUGCACACAAUCUGCUUUCGUGUUCCUGAUGGAUUGAAUCAAGAGUGAAUGAGCUCCUACUUCGCGAAAGCAAAACAAACUAAACGCAUCAACCACGACCGCAGAGCCCCCAUCUCUCCCAGGAGGGUGAGCCCAUGUUGUGUUUUCAUUUGUCAGAAAUCUAUCUUAGGAAGCCAUUCCUGAGAUCUGUUCUAAUUUAGGCCAUUUUUAAAAAAAAUAAUGCAGUUGAUUCUUUUCCCGUGAUCUUUCUUUUCUCCAUGACUUAAAUUUCCCCAGGAACUAUUCAAAUGCCGCAUCUGGGGUUUUGUUUUUGUUUUUUGAUGAAGUCAUGACUUUCUUUAAACAGUAAUUAUUAAACAAACCAAAGGGAAA